rnacentral:rRNA from 1 species
UACGAAGGGGGCUAGCGUUGCUCGGAAUCACUGGGCGUAAAGGGUGCGUAGGCGGGUCUUUAAGUCAGGGGUGAAAUCUGGAGCUCAACUCCAGAACUGCCUUUGAUACUGAAGAUCUUGAGUUCGGGAGAGGUGAGUGGAACUGCGAGUGUAGAGGUGAAAUUCGUAGAUAUUCGCAAGAACACCAGUGGCGAAGGCGGCUCACUGGCCCGAUCUGACGCUGAGGCAC